rnacentral:rRNA from 1 species
UACGAAGGGGGCUAGCGUUGUUCGGAUUUACUGGGCGUAAAGCGCACGUAGGCGGAUUGGUCAGUUAGGGGUGAAAUCCCAGAGCUCAACUCUGGAACUGCCCUUAAUACUGCCAGUCUAGAGUCCGGAAGAGGUAAGUGGAACUCCUAGUGUAGAGGUGGAAUUCGUAGAUAUUCGGAAGAACACCAGUGGCGAAGGCGACUUACUGGACACAUAUUGACGCUGAGGUGCGAAAGCGUGGGGAGCAAACAGG